GGGGCGGCAUGGCGGGCGGCGGCGAGCCGCCGGGGCUGGUGAGGUCCCGCCGUGGCCGGGCCGGGGCUGGCCGCCGCCUCUCGCCUCCCUCCGCGCAGGGGGAUUAGAGGUGCGGCCACACACUGCGCCUUGGGGCGUGGCUUGGCGUGAGGCCGCCCUGCUCGCCAUCACGGCGUUGUCUGUCCGGCCGCUUGUGCCCCGCAGCCCCUUCAGCAGCACCCGGCGCGGCGCUGAGGCGGGUGGCCGUGGCCCCGCCGUACCGAGCCACGGGCAGCAGCGAAAUGCUUCAAGUGAAGUGACCCAAGUGUUCUGUCCCACCACCGUGAAGGGAAGCUGACAAAAGCUUUAAGGCCACAAGAGGGCACGUUCUCUGUUUAACAGUCCACUGCUCAACAUCUGAACAGCACAGCUUCAUGCCAGCAUGCAAAUUUAGCACGUUGGAGAUGUUGCAGCUUCUGUUGAAGACUGAAAUCAUUCCACAGCACGUGUCAUGUCUUUGUUACUUCAUCCCACUGACCUCUGCUGGACAGGAGCCAGUUCUUCAGCAAGGUGUUGAUGAGUUAUGCAAGGCAGGCUGUUGUCUGCCUCAGCAGUGCAAGGCUCCCAAGGUCAAUUGCUAUUAUCAAAGAGCUGGUAACUUAGGAUGGAUUUGAAAUAGCUCCACAUCACAUGGCAAAAUCCUGGAGUCAUCCUUCCCCUUGGAAAGACCUCAUUCUUCUAAGGACAUGGAGACAGGAAGAAUUACUUUGCAAAGCUGAUGGUGCACAAGGGACCAGACUCCUAGAUGAAAACCAAGCCUUGCUGAAACCUGCCAGCUAUUCCCAAGCACAGAUUGCACCCUGAAAGUAUGUGGGCAGGAGCAGGAUGAAUGAGGAGGUAUUAUUUCUUACUGUAUCCAGCAGUGAAAUAGAACAGAACUCGACAUUUCAACAGCAAAGUAGAAUGUCAUUAAUCUGUUUUCUCAUGACUUUUGUUUUCUUUUCACCUAACCCUGUCUCCAAUACUUGCUGUAAAAGAAAAACAGGAUGAACACAGCUGUUGUGUUCAUUUUAGUGCCCUCUUUAUUGUUUAACUGACUGAGUUCCUUAACUGUAAGAUGUGAUAGUUCAAUAAAGUCAUGAGGCCUGUCCAGAAA